rnacentral:rRNA from 1 species
GACGAACGCUGGCGGCGUGCUUAACACAUGCAAGUCGAACGGAAAGGCCCUACUUGCAGGGUACUCGAGUGGCGAACGGGUGAGUAACACGUGGGUGAUCUGCCCUGCACUUCGGGAUAAGCUUGGGAAACUGGGUCUAAUACCGGAUAGGAGCCAUCUUUAGUGUGGUGGUUGGAAAGUUUUUUCGGUGUAGGAUGAGCUCGCGGCCUAUCAGCUUGUUGGUGGGGUAAUGGCCUACCAAGGCGGCGACGGGUAGCCGGCCUGAGAGGGUGUACGGCCACAUUGGGACUGAGAUACGGCCCAGACUCCUACGGGAGGCAGCAGUGGGGAAUAUUGCACAAUGGGCGCAAGCCUGAUGCAGCGACGCCGCGUGGGGGAUGAAGGCCUUCGGGUUGUAAACUCCUUUCGCUAGGGACGAAGCUUUUUUGUGACGGUACCUAGAGAAGAAGCACCGGCUAACUACGUG